rnacentral:rRNA from 1 species
UACGUAGGGAGCGAGCGUUGUCCGGAAUCAUUGGGCGUAAAGGGCGCGUAGGCGGCCUGCUAAGUCAAAUGUGAAAUACAGCGGCUUAACCGCUGGGCUGCGUUUGAAACUGGCAGGCUUGAGUACAGGAGAGGAGAGUGGAAUUCCUGGUGUAGUGGUGAAAUACGUAGAUAUCAGGAAGAACAUCGGUGGCGAAGGCGGCUCUCUGGCCAUGUACUGACGCUGAGGCGCGAAAGCGUGGGGAGCAAACAGG